rnacentral:miRNA from 1 species
UGUGUGUGUGUGUGUGUGUGUGUGUGUGUGUAUGUAUGUAUGUAAUAAACUCAUAUACACACACACACACACACACAUC